rnacentral:rRNA from 1 species
AAUUGGAGGGCAAGUCUGGUGCCAGCAGCCGCGGUAAUUCCAGCUCCAAUAGCGUAUAUUAAAGUUGUUGCAGUUAAAAAGCUCGUAGUUGAAUUUCGGGAUCAAUAUUUCGGUCAUGCCGUUGGUAUGCACUGCUAUCAUUGAUUUCUCACCUUCUAAAGAACCGUAAUGCCAUUAAUUUGGUGUUACGGGGAAUUAGGACUGUUACCUUGAAAAAAUUAGAGUGUUUAAAGCAGGCUCACGCUUGAAUACAUUAGCAUGGAAUAAUGAAAUAGGACAUCCGAUUCUAUUUUGUUGGUUUCUAGGAUCGAUGUAAUGAUUAAUAGGGAUAGUUGGGGGCAUUAGUAUUCAAUUGUCAGAGGUGAAAUUCUUGGAUUUAUUGAAGACUAACUACUGCGAAAGCAUUUGCCAAGGAUGUUUUCAUUAAUCAAGAACGAAAGUUAGGGGAUCGAAGACGAUCAGAUACCGUCGUAGUCUUAACCAUAAACUAUGCCGACUAGGGAUCGGAUGAUGUUAAUUUUUUAAUGACUCAUUCGGCGCCUUACGGGAAACCAAAGUGU